rnacentral:rRNA from 1 species
CCCUUAGAUGUUCUGGGCCGCACGCGCGCUACACUGGUGCGUUCAACAAGUUUACAACCUUGAUUGACAAGUCUGGGUAAUCUUUUGAAUGCGCACCGUGCUAGGGAUAGAUUAUUGCAAUUAUUAAUCUUGAACGAGGAAUUCCUAGUAAACGCAAGUCAUCAGCUUGCAUUGAUUACGUCCCUGCCCUUUGUACACACCGCCCGUCGCACCUACCGAUUGAAUGGUCCGGUGAAUCUUUAGGACUGUGGCUGAGGCCUUGCCUUGUGCGGGUCUGGCCGUGGGAAUUUAGUUAAACCUUACCAUUUAGAGGAAGGUGAAGUCGUAACA